rnacentral:rRNA from 1 species
ACGCUGGCGGCGUGCUUAACACAUGCAAGUCGAACGGGAGUAUUGAAGGAGCUUGCUUUAGAGAUACUUUAGUGGCGGACGGGUGAGUAACGCGUGAGGAGCUGUCCUAUGCAGGGGGACAACAGCUGGAAACGGCUGCUAAUACCCCAUAAGCCGAGAGGUAAAAGGAUCAAUCCGGCAGAGGAGGUACUCGCGUCCUAUCAGCUAGUAGGUGAGGUAACGGCUCACCUAGGCGAAGACGGGUAGCCGGCCUGAGAGGGCGAACGGCCACACUGGAACUGAGAUACGGUCCAGACUCCUACGGGAGGCAGCAGUGGGGAAUAUUGGGCAAUGGGGGAAACCCUUGACCCAGCGACGCCGCGUGGGUGAAGAAAUCCUUCGGGAUGUAAAGCCCUGUUGUAUGGGAAGAGCGGAAGACGGUACCAUACGAGGAAGCCCCGGCAAACUACGUGCCAGCAGCCGC